AGGGUAUGAUCUUGGCUCAGAACGAACGCUGGCGGCGUGGAUUAGGCAUGCAAGUCGAACGAGGAAGUGCCCCGUAAGGGGCGCAAGCCUAGUGGCGAAAGGGUGAGUAAUGCAUUGAUAACCUGCCUUUGAGAUGGGAAUAACUGCGUUUCGAGCAAUCGGAACUACCGAAAGGGCUGCUAAUACCCAAUAAUACUAUAGGUGCAAAAGCACUUGUGGUCAAAUGCUAGGAAUUCUGUUCCUUGUGCUUAAAGAGGGGUUAAUGUCCUAUCAGCUAGUUGGUGGGGUAAUGGCCUACCAAGGCAAAGACGGGUAGCCGGCUUGAGAGGGUGGUCGGCCACACUGGGACUGAGACACUGCCCAGACUCCUACGGGAGGCUGCAGUCGAGAAUCUUUCGCAAUGCCCGAAAGGGUGACGAAGCGACGCCGCGUGUGGGAAGAAGGCCUUCGGGUUGUAAACCACUGUCGGGAGUUAGGAAAUGCAGGUGCGUUAAUAGCGCACUUGCUUGACUAAGGCUCCAGAGGAAGCCACGGCUAACUCUGUGCCAGCAGCCGCGGUAAUACAGAGGCGGCAAGCGUUGUUCGGAAUUAUUGGGCGUAAAGAGCACGUAGGCGGCCUUGCAAGUCAGUUGUGAAAGCCUUCCGCUUAACGGAAGAACGGCAUCUGAUACUACAGGGCUUGAGUACGGGAGGGGAGAGUGGAACUUCUGGUGGAGCGGUGAAAUGCGUAGAUAUCAGAAGGAACGCCGGCGGCGAAAGCGACUCUCUGGUCCGAAACUGACGCUGAGUGUGCGAAAGCUAGGGGAGCAAACGGGAUUAGAUACCCCGGUAGUCCUAGCCGUAAACGAUGGGCACUAAGUAGAGGGGUUUUGAUUAUUUCUCUGCCGGAGCUAACGCAUUAAGUGCCCCGCCUGGGGAGUACGGCCGCAAGGCUAAAACUCAAAAGAAUUGACGGGGGCUCGCACAAGCGGUGGAGCAUGUGGCUUAAUUCGAUGCAACGCGAAGAACCUUACCGGGGCUUGACAUGGUAGAAGUAGAAUCCUGAAAGGGUGACGAUCGGUAUCCAGUCCGAAGCUAUCACAGGUGUUGCAUGGCUGUCGUCAGCUCGUGUCGUGAGCUGUUGGGU
rnacentral:rRNA from 1 species